rnacentral:rRNA from 1 species
AUGAACGCUGGCGGCGUGCCUAAUACAUGCAAGUCGCGCGAACAGACGAGGAGCUUGCUCCUCUGACGUUAGCGGCGGACGGGUGAGUAACACGUGGAUAACCUACCUAUAAGACUGGGAUAACUUCGGGAAACCGGAGCUAAUACCGGAUAAUAUAUUGAACCGCAUGGUUCAAUAGUGAAAGACGGUUUUGCUGUCACUUAUAGAUGGAUCCGCGCCGCAUUAGCUAGUUGGUAAGGUAACGGCUUACCAAGGCAACGAUGCGUAGCCGACCUGAGAGGGUGAUCGGCCACACUGGAACUGAGACACGGUCCAGACUCCUACGGGAGGCAGUAGUAGGGAAUCUUCCGCAAUGGGCGAAAGCCUGACGGAGCAACGCCGCGUGAGUGAUGAAGGUCUUCGGAUCGUAAAACUCUGUUAUUAGGGAAGAACAAAUGUGUAAGUAACUAUGCACGUCUUGACGGUACCUAAUCAGAAAGCCACGGCUAACUACGUG